UUUGGGAUAACCCUCGGAAACGGGGGCUAAUACCGGAUAUGACCGCUGAUCGCAUGGUUGGUGGUGGAAAGUUUUUCGGCCUGGGAUGGGCUCGCGGCCUAUCAGCUUGUUGGUGGGGUGAUGGCCUACCAAGGCGACGACGGGUAGCCGGCCUGAGAGGGCGACCGGCCACACUGGGACUGAGACACGGCCCAGACUCCUACGGGAGGCAGCAGUGGGGAAUAUUGCACAAUGGGCGGAAGCCUGAUGCAGCGACGCCGCGUGAGGGAUGACGGCCUUCGGGUUGUAAACCUCUUUCAGCAGGGACGAAGCGUAAGUGACGGUACCUGCAGAAGAAGCGCCGGCCAACUACGUGCCAGCAGCCGCGGUAAGACGUAGGGCGCGAGCGUUGUCCGGAUUUAUUGGGCGUAAAGAGCUCGUAGGCGGCUUGUCGCGUCGACUGUGAAAACCCGCAGCUCAACUGCGGGCCUGCAGUCGAUACGGGCAGGCUAGAGUUCGGUAGGGGAGACUGGAAUUCCUGGUGUAGCGGUGAAAUGCGCAGAUAUCAGGAGGAACACCGGUGGCGAAGGCGGGUCUCUGGGCCGAUACUGACGCUGAGGAGCGAAAGCGUGGGGAGCGAACAGGAUUAGAUACCCUGGUAGUCCACGCUGUAAACGUUGGGCGCUAGGUGUGGGGGGCCUCUCCGGUUCUCUGUGCCGCAGCUAACGCAUUAAGCGCCCCGCCUGGGGAGUACGGCCGCAAGGCUAAAACU
rnacentral:rRNA from 1 species